CACGCAGUAAACGAUGAUUACUCGCUGUUUGCGAUAUACUGCAAGCGGCUUAGCGAAAGCGUUAAGUAAUCCACCUGGGGAGUACGUUCGCAAGAAUGAAACUCAAAGGAAUUGACGGGG
rnacentral:rRNA from 1 species